rnacentral:misc_RNA from 1 species
AUUUUGCAGUGGUCCGCGAUGUCCUGGAUGUGCCCGUGUUCUGUCAACCUCGUGCGUCCUGUCGUCACAGGUGAUGAUAACUUACCACCCCCAGUCGAUAUCGCGGGUGGCGCACUCUCGAAGUUAGUUCGCGAAAAAAUAUCGACGAUUCGGGGAGGCAUUGGGGAGGACAGGGGUAGAUGCACGAUAAAUUACCCGUGUCACAUUCAUUGUCGGUGACUAAUUUUCAGCGAACAAACAUGACGCCGUUAUUUGUAAUCGGAUCAAGUGAGACGACGACCCCACGCAGGAUAAAGAUAACGUGUUCGCCAUUCAAAGCAGCAGCGAAUCACUGGACAGUCGUCGAGUCUUCUCGGCCUUCCGGAAGGCACUGGCGGCGUAAUCGAGUCCAUCGGGGCUGAAGAGAUUUGAGAGUUA